CGACUCCACGCACUCACCCUCUCUUAACCUCCUAUGAAUCUCGUACAAUCCUUCGGGUUGUCCAUGUCCUCACGUUCGAAUCCACGAACGUCACGUUCCGAAUCCACGAAACGCCUGCACUCCGAAUCCACGAAGCUCACGAUCCGAAUCCACGAACCGCCGUCAAUCACGCCGAAUCCACGACGCCAUCAUGAAGAACAUCAUGUGUAUGGUGAUCCUUCGCUUAGAGUAUCGAUGAAAACCAGGGAAGAGAACUCCAAGCGAAGCGAAGAUCAAAUUGACAUAUAGAUAUGAAAUUCCAAUAUCUCGAUUUGACCUAAAAGAGGCUAAUAUGUAGAAAAUAGGUUUUAGAUGAAAUCCGAGCCUCUAGGGUUUCUCAAACAUGUAUUUUCGUGAUGCUUGAUAAGUUAGAGAACCCCAAUAGCUUAUUUAUAGACUUUAGAAUCAAUCGGAGUCGGAUUAGAAAGUUUUUUCCGAAAUUUGCAUUGUGUACCGGUACACGUGAGGCUGUCACCGGUACACGAUGACGGAACAGAAAAUCAAAACAGCCUUGUAACCGGUAACAUGUUUGAUGGUUAUACCCGUACAUAGUUUGUAACCGGUAACACGUUGAUGGUUGUACCCGUACAAAGUUUGUAACCGGUAGCACUUUCAAUGUGUACCCGUACACAGUGUAGUUUUUAGAUUUUUUUCACGUUUCGGGUUUCGCAAAGUUCCAAUACAC
rnacentral:lncRNA from 1 species